rnacentral:misc_RNA from 1 species
AAGGAUCAUUACUGAACCGUUGACACGAGUUGUUGCUGGUCCCCCAAAAGGGGGCAUGUGCACGCUCUGUUUACACAUCCACUCACACCUGUGCACCCACUGUAGUUCUAUGGCCUUGGGGACUCUGUCUCCUUUGCCGUGGUCCUACUUCUUUACACACACACACCGUAGUAAAGUAUCAUGGAAUGCAUGUAGCGUUUAACGCAAUACAAUACAACUUUCAGCAACGGAUCUCUUGGCUCUC